GGCUGCGUGUGGCCUGAGUCUGACCGUGCGCGACGUCGGAAGCCUCGGCGACGGGCGCCUGCAGAGAGGCAAUGGCGGCGAUGGCAGCUGCGGAAGGCUCCUCGAGCUCGGCGGGCUUGACUCUGGGCCGGAGCUUCUCGGACUACCAGCCCUCUGAGCCACGGCUGACGGGAUCCUCCUGAAUGAAGGGCUGAGGCUGCAAGGUCCCGCAGGAGACGCUGCUCAAACUCCAGGCGGGACUGACGCGGCCGGGGCCUGGUGGGCGGCCAGGAAGAGGCGUCCCAGGAAACCGGAGCAGGCCCCAGCCCCACUUUUCCAGCCCUGGGCAUCAGGAUGGACUCCUGCGUCAUCCCCCUGAGGCAUGGGGGCCUGCCACUGGUGCAGACCACGGACUGCUUUUACCCCUUGGUGGAAGAUCCCUACAUGAUGGGGCGCCAUAGCUAGUGCCAACGUGCUCAGUGACCUCUACGCCAUGGGCAUUACUGAGUGUGACAUGUUGAUGUUACUUAGCGUCAGCCAGAGUAUGAGUGAGGAGGAACGCAAAAAGGUAACGCCACUCAUGGUCAAAGGCUUUUGGGAUGUGGCUGAGGAAGGAGGGACAGCAGUGACCGGUGGGCAAACGGUGCUCAACCCUUGGAUUAUAAUCGGUGGAGUUGCCACUGUGGUGUGCCAGCCAAAUGAAUUCAUAAUGCCCGACAGCACAUGGUUGGGGAUGUGCUGGUGUUAACCAAACCGUUAGGAGCCCAGGUUGCUGUCAAUGCCCACCAAUGGCUGGAUAAUCCUGAAAGAUGGAAUAAAGUAAAGAUGGUGGUCUCCGGAGAACACGUGGAGCUGGCGUAUCAGGAAGCCAUGUUCAAUAUGGCUACCCUCAACAGAACUGCUGCAGGUUUAAUGCAGACAUUUAAUGUCCAUGUGGCCACGGAUAUCACAGGCUUUGGCAUUCUAGGAUACUCCCAGAACCUUGCGAAACAACAAAGAAACGAAGUGUCCUUCGUUAUUCAUAAUCUGCCAAUAAUUGCCAAGAUGGCUGCCGUCAGCAAGGCCAGUGGACGGUUUGGGCUCCUUCAAGGAAACUCAGCUGAAACCUCUGGGGAAUUACUGAUUUGUCUGCCUAGAAAACAGGCGGCUCGCUUUUGUUCCGAAAUCAAAUCCCCAAAGUACGGAGAGGGUCACCAAGCGUGGAUCGUUGGCAUUGUGGAAAAGGGAAGCCGAAUGGCCCAAAUUAUUGACAAGCCGUGAGUUAUUGAAGCCCUACCUCGUGGGGCCACAGCUCUUGCUCUUGCUCCUGACAAUUCAAAUGCCUCUUCUGAGCCUUGCUCGUCAGAUGAAAGAACAGAAGCUGUUUGGACCGUAGAGCUAUUGUACACAAUCACCGAUGGUUCUCAAGAGUGGAUUUUAAGAGAUAUCCAAAGAAGGCUGCCUGCAUAGUGGUUCCAGCUGCCCUUUCUAGGUGAUUGGAAUCAGCCCAUCAAAAGCAGCCUUUAUGUACAUUCUGAGGCCAGAGUAACAUUUUGAACUUUGUGGGGGAUGUUUGUUCAUAGCUUGGGUGGAGGAGGAGCAGAAAUACCUCUGUUUUUGCUUUCCAAAGUAAGAUGAGGCUAUUCCAGGUUGAGGGAUUUUUCUUUGCACUGGGUUGAUUAAUUUCUGCACAGGGAUUGGAUGACUUAUUAAAACCACACACAAUUGCAAAAUGAAAAAAUUUAGAUCAGAAGCAAAUGAGUUUUGGACGAAUACUGUUGAUAAAUCUAAAUUGUUAAGAGAGGUCUUAUAAGGCCACCUCAAAUUCUUUGUUAGAUUUUAACUGAGUACUGGCUCUUUCCCGCUCUGGACAAGAACUUGUCAUGACUGGGAAAGGGGGACCUGCAACCAUCUGGCUUGGUAUCUGUUAAUGAUGUCUCUCCCUCUAAACCCCAUUAAGGACAGGGAGAGGCAGACCAAGCCUCAGAGCCCAGCCUUGGUGGUUAUUAGGAGGUUAAGUCGUUUGCUGCAAAUUUCUGGUGAUUUGAUCAAUAAAGAGUAAUUUCUUCCUAAAUUAAAAAAAAAAGUAAAUAUGUUAAACAAACAAAUACUCUGGUCACUGGAAGGAUUAGUUUCAAAGUUUCAUCCAAAAAGUUUAGAAUCAGUGCCUUUAACUCACAGCUGUUUGCUUUUUUUUUUAGCUGUUGAAUAUAGCUGAGAACAUACAAUGCCUACAAUUCCUAUAGUAAGAAUAAAAUCUAUUCUCAGGAAAUCAGGGUAUAAGAUAAACCAGAAGAGAGGAAAAAAUGUGGAAAAAAGAAAAGGGAGUAUGAAAAGCAAGGAAGAAAUGGAGGACCAGAUAAAAACAUAAUAGGAUUUUUAAAAACAGCUUAGCUAUUCCUAAAUUGGACAGUGUGGCUGCCUCCUCGGCUUUUAUGGGCUCAAAAUAGGGAAGUGCAUGCUGAUUGGUUUGAGAUUAAGGCAAGCUUAAACUCGUGCUGUUGCUUUAAAGCCAUGUCUUUUUGCUUUCAAUGUAAGAAAUUAUUCAGCCAAUUAUUAAUAUAGUGAAUAUUUGUUUUAUUGAAAGAUAGAGGUAAUUUUGGAGAUGACAAAGGUAAUACUGAGAUAUAGAAGUAACUAAUUUUGUGUUUUAAAUAUUAACAUAUUCUAGUACAGGGUCUCUUAACCUCAUUACUAUUGGCACCUCGGCCUCCCAAAGUGCUAGGAUAACAGGCGUGAGCCACCUUGCCCCGCCCAAUUUUGUUGCUUUUUUAAAAAAAAAAUAGAGAUAGGGUCUUGCUCUGUCACCUGGGCUGGAAUACAGUGGUGUGAUCAUAGCUUACUGUAACCUUUAACUCCUGGGCUCAGGCAGUCCUCCAGCCUCAGGCUUCUGAGUAGUUAGAACUACAGGCAAAUGUCACCACACCUGGCUAAUUAAAGAAAAUUUUUUGAGACAGGGUCUAGUGAUGUUGCUCAGGCUGGUCUUGAACUCUUAGCCUCAAGGGAUCCUCAUCUUGGCCUCCCAAAGUGCUGGAAUUAUAGGCAUGAGCCACCAAACCUGGCUGUGAAUCUCUGUUCUAAAGGAAUGAAUAAUCUAUCUUAUAUGAAUGCUGUUUUUAAAUUGGCAUUUUUAGACAGAUUGUUUCACUCAAUUCUUAGAUUCCUGUGAAUAUUCCUUUCCUGAGAUAUGAGGAUAUUCAUUCUCAUAUCACAAGAUUCCUAAGAUAUGAUAAUCAUCUUAUCUGUAAGUCAUUUAAUGUUUAUGAACCUCAGUUUUCUUGUGCAUGAACACAGAGCUAGAAGUGUUACACCUGGAACUUUUCCCUUGGAACAAAUUAAUUCUCAUAUGAUAUAUAAUGAAAUAAUUGUAUUUGAAAAAUCAAUGGGUAUAAAAUUGUAUUUAUACAUGAUCACAGGUUUAUAAACAUUUUGUAUAAAAGGCAACAAAGGCAAGAUGACAGAAAAUAUUUGAUUUAUUUUUGUAGUCAAAUUUGUUGGCUUCAGAAUUCUGAUUUCCACUGAUGCAGUGGUCUCAACCCUAACUGUUAAUUAGACUCACCUGGGGGGCUUGAAAGUUAUUAAUGCUGGAGUCUUAUCUCCAAAGAUUUGAAUUUGAGGAAAGAAAAAGUAGAAAGGAUUACUUCUUACUUAAAAAGGAGAAUGUCUCACCAAGCACCAGUACACUGCCAUUCAUCACCUUUUCUUUCUCUUCUUCUUGUCUAAAAUGAGGUAAAGAUAAGAUUUGGGAGCUUAAAACUCGGCAAAGAAGUAAAUCCUUCUGGCAAUGUUAUAAAGUGAGUGUCUGUAUUCCUACCUUGCAGAGGGGAACCUAAAACUCAGAACGAUUUUAUAUCCUUUGUGGGCUCCUCUUCUACACCUGCUCGUGAAAUGCAAGUUUCCUGGACUGUGAACAUCAUAACUUUCAGAAAUGAGGACAUUAGUAAUUUGCUAUUACUAGAUCUUUUUAUUAAAAGCACCCUCAAUGUACAUAAUUUAAUACAAAUAUACAUCUCUUUGGCUUCUUAAGAACAAUCAGCAGAGCCAGAUGUCUUGAAGGCAGAAGUGUCCCUGUAUUUCUCUAAUAAGGACUCAGUGUUUCUUUUUUCUU